UGGGGAAUUUUGGACAAUGGGCGCGAGCCUGAUCCAGCCAUGCCGCGUGCGGGAAGAAGGCCUUCGGGUUGUAAACCGCUUUUGUCAGGGAAGAAAUCUUCUGAGUUAAUACCUCGGGAGGAUGACGGUACCUGAAGAAUAAGCACCGGCUAACUACGUGCCAGCAGCCGCGGUAAUACGUAGGGUGCAAGCGUUAAUCGGAAUUACUGGGCGUAAAGCGUGCGCAGGCGGUUUUGUAAGACAGAGGUGAAAUCCCCGGGCUCAACCUGGGAACUGCCUUUGUGACUGCAAGGCUUGAGUGCGGCAGAGGGGGAUGGAAUUCCGCGUGUAGCAGUGAAAUGCGUAGAUAUGCGGAGGAACACCGAUGGCGAAGGCAAUCCCCUGGGCCUGCACUGACGCUCAUGCACGAAAGCGUGGGGAGCAAACAGGAUUAGAUACCCUGGUAGUCCACGCCCUAAACGAUGUCAACUGGUUGUUGGGAAGGUUCCUUCUCAGUAACGUAGCUAACGCGUGAAGUUGACCGCCUGGGGAGUACGGCCGCAAGGUUGAAACUUAAAGGAAUUGACGGGGUCAUAGCUGUUUCCUG
rnacentral:rRNA from 1 species